rnacentral:rRNA from 1 species
GACGAACGCUGGCGGCGUGCCUAAUACAUGCAAGUAGAACGCUGAAGCGAGGAGCUUGCUCUUCUUGGAUGAGUUGCGAACGGGUGAGUAACGCGUAGGUAGCCUGCCUUGUAGCGGGGGAUAACUAUUGGAAACGAUAGCUAAUACCGCAUAACAAUGGAUGACACAUGUCAUUUAUUUGAAAGGGGCAAUUGCUCCACUACAAGAUGGACCUGCGUUGUAUUAGCUAGUAGGUGAGGUAAUGGCUCACCUAGGCGACGAUACAUAGCCGACCUGAGAGGGUGAUCGGCCACACUGGGACUGAGACACGGCCCAGACUCCUACGGGAGGCAGCAGUAGGGAAUCUUCGGCAAUGGGGGCAACCCUGACCGAGCAACGCCGCGUGAGUGAAGAAGGGUUUCGGAUCGUAAAGCUCUGUUGUAAGUCAAGAACGGGUGUGAGAGUGGAAAGUUCACACUGUGACGGUAGCUUACCAGAAAGGGACGGCUAACUACGUG